AGUUUCUCCACCUGAUUGCCCAUCACGCUGCGGAUGUACGUUCACACGGCCGCGAGGGGAGAAAGCGAAACCACCACUAGGGUCAUUGGCACAGGUCCCCGGACAGGGGCUGAGACCACCUGUUGGAAGAGGAAAGCAAGGAAGCCAUGUGGGAGCCCCUCCGUGAAAAGGCCGACUUCUUAAGAAAAGGAAGAAUGGCUGGGGGGCGAGCAGCUGGAGCCAUUUUACGGGGAGGCUCGGAUGCGGCCAGCCUUCCCUCAUUUCUUCCACCUCUAGGGUCGCGGUCACAGGAGGCCGGGCAACUCUAGCUCUACGCCGCCCCCAGCACUUCACCUCGCCCAGGCAAGAGCCCAUUGCAUCAGCAGCUCCAACGGCUUCCGCCGGGGCCCUACCUGCCGAGCCCAGGCAGGAGGGAGUAAAGAAGAGAAACUUUACUCCAAACCCCCCUUUUCUUCAUCUUCCUUUCACCCCAGGGCCAUAACUCAGCGCCUGAGACGCCCCCCGAGCCUCCACCCUCGGGGAAACCGGCGAGGACCCCGCAGCUCGGCCGGGGCAGGUGAGCCACCCUACCUGGCUCACCUGCGGCGCUCUCUCCACCCGUCUCGCCCGCCCCUCCCCCGCAAGCCGGCCCUACGGCUUCGGGUUACCGGCGAAAACUCACCCGCAGAGAGGUGGAGGCCUUGGGGAAUUUACCCCUCCCUCCCCCGCGCCCCCAGCCGCACCUGGAGACUUCUAGGGGAAUCUCUCGUGGAUCCACAGAGGGGCUUCCAUUCCCCUGUAGAGUGCUGAUGGGGUUUCGGAGUGAUGGGGGUCCAGAGCUGAUGGCCGAGGAAGAAUUGUUGAGACGUCUUUGUGCAAAACAGAUGAAAACCAGUGUGUCCGCUGGUGAGACCACCGUUUCUGGGAGCCGGAGCCGGGAAAAGGCAGCAGACAAAGGGAACAGUCAGCCAAGUAGAGUUUGCUGGAGAUUUACAUGGAAACCUCCAGACAGAUGCAGGGCUGCUGGAUUUAUAAGGAGGGUGAGAUAAUUUGUUCUUGUGUGCUUAGAUAAGGGUAAACAAAUUUCAUGCUGUGAUGUAAGCCCCUAUCUGCAGAAGUCAGGAAAGAUUCCCUGCCCUGCUGCCGCAUCCCGUGCUUGACAAAUCAUCCUCAGAGACUAUUUCUCUGGAGCCUUCAUCUAGCGGUCAUGUGGGGGCCUGAGUAUAAAAGAUGGAAGGACAGGCCUGGGUGCAGAGGAGGGAGACUCUUGUGUUCCUAUGCAUCUGGAAGCCCAGAAAUGGAAGUGGUCACAGUGCUGGGGUGGCAUCGAGUAGUAGCUCCGUGGGAUCCGUGGGCAUGAUUGAGGAGUACAUGCCUGGAAAUGUGUGUGCCUGUUUCACCUUGAGCUUGGCCUUGGUCCGGCAGUCACCUACACCUUGGGUCUGCCCGGAGUACCGUCAACAGCAGGUGAAAGAGGGAAAUGGCUGUGUUAGUACAUGAGCCGGAGAGAAGAGGGAGUAACUACGUUAUGGUACCAGUUCACUGAUCAGGACUCUUCAGGUCACAAGGGACAGAAAUCUAACUUCUAUAUCUUACAAUCGGAUCUGACUGUGUGAAACAGCAGCUCACUUUAAACAGUGUCUUGAAACCAGUGCUUUUCUGGUACAGCAACAAUUCUGGAGGCUAGAUGGUCACUGGCAUUGCUUUAGCAACUCAACAAUAUCAGGUUGGCAACUCAGCUGGGAGACUCACCUGUGCUCCAUGUGGUGUCAGCUAGGCUUAGUGUGACAUCUGUGACCUUAGCCAGAUGGCUGGCAUGGCUGUGAGCUUUGAGACACCUGGGAUCUUCACAUGGUUUCUCGUCCCAGAGAGGCACAGGUUAUGAACCGUUGAGCAGCACACCACUCUAAAACAGGGAGAAAUAAACAACCCCCCUUUCAUUUGCUCACAA